rnacentral:rRNA from 1 species
UACGAAGGGGGGCUAGCGUUGCUCGGAAUCACUGGGCGUAAAGCGCACGUAGGCGGCUUUCUAAGUCAGGGGUGAAAUCCUGGAGCUCAACUCCAGAACUGCCUUUGAUACUGGGGAGCUCGAGUCCGGAAGAGGUGAGUGGAACUCCGAGUGUAGAGGUGAAAUUCGUAGAUAUCGGAAGAACAUCAGUGGCGAAGGCGGCUCACUGGUCCGGUACUGACGCUGGGGUGC